UAAAUUAUAUUUUAUUAAAAUUAAUAUUUAAUUGUUUAUAUUUAUUACUUAUUAAUAAAUUAAUAAAAUUUGAUAUAUUAAAUUAAAUUAAUUAAUUGAUCACAUUUGACUUUUGAUAUUUUCUUUCUAUCUAAAAGUAAAAAAUGUAUAAUUUCAACAAAAAUAGAAAAAAACCCUUCCAAUUUAAUUCUAACCAUUUAUUUUAAAGUCUAACCAUUUCGAGUGUGAGUUAAUUUGAGUUUAAAUCAUCGUUGAAUUAUAAUGCAAUAAUUACAGGUGAUAUAUCUCAUGAUUUAAUUCUUUGCCCUGAAACAAUAAAGAACCAGUAGCAGAUAAUUAAGUAAUACAGAACUUACAUCAAAAUUUUAAAAACACAGAGAUGUCUCCCUUCAUCUCCUCUUAUUCUGAACCAAGUAGAGCAUGCAUGUCCUUGUAAACCAUCCUCUCGUUCUAUCACAAGCCUAUCUCCCUUCGCAUAAUCCCAUAGGACUAAAAGAAUGGAGACAUUACUGAACUAGCACAAGGCACCACAGUUUGUAUUUACAUCUUCAUAGAAAUGAAUAUUUCCAUCAC
rnacentral:lncRNA from 1 species